AUACAAUGUGGUGUCAACUAAUACAUUGACUUUAGCAGUAAUGGUAGAGGACUGCAUGAUGAAAAUUAGAGAAAAAAAUGAGUUCGACAAGAUAUCUUGGAUAUAUAAGACCCUGCUGGACCAGGUUGUUAUCCUAGAAGAUGACCAAAAGUACUCAUAUUUUACUAGAAGCUAGCACUUCGAUCACCUCAGAGAUGUGGUAUGGAAUUAAUUUGUUUGCCAAUUGCCAAAGUUAUUACCAUAAGUUAACAAAGAUGCAAAGCUUAUAUAGAGAAGUGAAAAGGGAAUGCAUGUAAAUUUCAAGAACAUUUCCCCACUCUACAUUCAUUAUCAGAUGACCCAGUUUCCCCUGGGUUACCCAAGACAUAUUGGCAAGAAACAGAAAUUCUCUUUUUAAAUUUAAAAAAGCAGGAAUUUAUCCAAAUUAAGAGUAAGAUGGCUCUCAUGGAUGCCUAUGAUAAAUAACAGCUGUUUAUAAAUUUAUUGAAAAAAUUGUAAAUACAUUUGUAAUUUGUACUUAGAUAAUACAGAUGACUGUACAUUGAUAUGAUAAGGUUGAUUCUUAAAAAAAAUACUGUACAUUGUACAUCUGUUGUAAAUUUUAAAAAGGAAUUACAUGUAACAAUUAUAAAAGAAUUUUUAAGCAGAUAGAUGGUAAAUACUUCAGAUUUUCAGUUACUUCUUUCAUUAUUCAAAAAAAUAUUUCUGUAGAGAAUAGCAGAAUGUUGUAAGUGUUGAAAGUGAAUUCGUAAAUAUUUGAAUUGUAAUUUAUAUUUUUUCCAUGUAUUUGUCAAUUGAGUAGAUCUAUAUUGCCAUUUGCAAAUUACCUGUGUGCAAGUUUUAUUUUUUUUUUCAAAGUUAAACUGUUAUGGUCAAUAUCAAAUUUGGUUGGACAUUUUUGUAACUUCCAAUUGGAAAAGUAUUUUCAUUUGGAAUGUAGGUAAACUUGUUUAUAUAUAUUUGCCAUGAUAGAUAUUGGCAAUUUAAAGCAAUAUGAGCUGCAAUUUUCAUGUUGAAAUUUUUUUUCAAGAAAAUGUUAUUUUGAACUAAAAUGACAAAAAAUAUCAUGGUCUUAAAAUUUCUGUUAGCUCUGUUUUUGUGGGAAAAGCCAUUAAGAAGCCUUAAUUGGAGCAAAAUUAUUGUCAUCCUGUACAAAAAAUUGAUCUGCUAUAUAUAUGUUCCUUAUUAGGGAAAUCUUUCUCCUGACAAAAAUUAAUGUUUUUUUUCAAUUUUAUCAUAAAAGUUUAAGUUACAGGCAGACUUAUCAUACUAGCAGGUUUUUGCAGCAAAAUAAAUUUCUAAAAAAUACAGCCCAUAUUGCUUUAAAUGCAAGUGUAUGAUUUUGGAAAUUUUAUAAAUCUUAUAUGUUUGUUUUCUUUCAAUUAAAAGUCCUAUAGCUUACACAAAUUAAUGAAAUGUUGUUUUCUUUUAAGAAUUAGAUUACUUAUUGAAAUGCUUUGUUUUAUAUAACAUUUACAAAUUUGGGUAAACUAGGUAUUAAAUGAAUUUUUUUUUUCCUCAAAAGUUGCCUGAAUGUCAGAUAGAAAUUUGAUCUGUAAUCAACUGGAUUUGUAAGUGAAUAUAUGCUAUGGUUAUUUAGAAAAAUAUCUUCAGUCUAGGUAGUAGGUACUGAUACUUUAUAUGGCAUUGGUCAUGAAAUGACAAAGAAACAAUAUUAUUUUUAAAUGUGCCAAAACCUGCCUGCCUUUUUGGCUUUUUUCAAUAGGUACACAGUUGGAUUAAAAAAAAGAUAAAUGAAAAGAAUUUUCUAUCAAGUAAGGAACUAUGCCAUGGCCUUGAUAAGUCAAUAUGAACUUUAACAAAAAGUAAAAAUUUUAUUUUCUUGUUCCAUAGAUAUA